UGUGGCCUACGGGACGCAGCAGUGGGGAAUAUUGGGCAAUGGGCGAAAGCCUGACCCAGCAACGCCGCGUGAAGGAAGAAGGCUUUCGGGUUGUAAACUUCUUUUGACAGGGAAGAGCAGAAGACGGUACCUGUCGAAUAAGCCACGGCUAACUACGUGCCAGCAGCCGCGGUAAUACGUAGGUGGCAAGCGUUAUCCGGAUUUAUUGGGUGUAAAGGGCGUGUAGGCGGGAAUGCAAGUCAGAUGUGAAAACUAUGGGCUCAACCCAUAGCCUGCAUUUGAAACUGUAUUUAUUGUGUGCUGGG
rnacentral:rRNA from 1 species